CAAAAAGACAGUCUCAGUUCAGAUUGUAGGCUGAAACUCGCCUAUAUGAAGUCGGAAUUGCUAGUAAUCGCAGAUCAGCAUGCUGCGGUGAAUACGUUCCCGGGCCUUGUACACACCGCCCGUCACACCAUGAGAGUCGAUAACACCCGAAGCCUGUAGUCUAACCAUAAGGAGGACGCAGUCGAAGGUGGGGAUUGAUAAUUAGGGUGAAGUCGUAACAAGGUAUC
rnacentral:rRNA from 1 species